rnacentral:rRNA from 1 species
UACGUAGGGAGCAAGCGUUGUCCGGAAUCAUUGGGCGUAAAGCGCGCGUAGGUGGCUUCGUAAGUCCGUUGUGAAAGUCAAAGGCUCAACCUUUGAAUGCCGAUGGAUACUGCGGAGCUAGAGUACGGAAGAGGCGAGUGGAAUUCCUGGUGUAGCGGUGAAAUGCGCAGAUAUCAGGAGGAACACCAAUUGCGAAGGCAGCUCGCUGGGACGUUAUUGACGCUGAGACGCGAAAGCGUGGGGAGCAAACAGG